CCCUCAGGAGUCUGAUAAAAUUGGAACUAUCAAGAGAAGAUUAACAUGGCCUCUGCUCAAAAGCAACAUGCACAAAUCAAGAAAUGGUCCUAGUCUUU